CGUUUGCCAGUGUUCUAUUCUUUCACUAGAAAUGCCUUCAUACAGACAACCCUAAGAAUCUACCGUUGUAUGCAACCAUGCAAGACAACGAAGACACAUGCCAGCAAAUGAUUCCAUGACACAAGUUCAUAAAUAUUUCAAACACCAGUCAUACAAAUGUAGAUGGCUACGCAGAUAUCUCACAAGGCACAGCCGCGAAAGCGAAAGCUUCUCGCAGCACCACCGGAGCAGCACAACAGGUAAAUGACACCCAAUCCAGUCAAAUAGCUUAAAAGGUUUGUGCACCGGUCGCCAAGCUGGUGCAAGUACUUAGAAUACCCUAGGCAAGCAAUAAAACAGAGUACAACAGAUACUUCGAUAUAGGUUUGCACAAUGGUGUUGAACAUCAUCACCAAUACUACUCACAGGUGCUUCAAGUACCCUCACGGUAACCACCCGGAUCUUAUCUUAG
rnacentral:lncRNA from 1 species